rnacentral:rRNA from 1 species
AGUUUGACUGGGGCGGUCUCCUCCUAAAGAGUAACGGAGGAGCACGAAGGUUGGCUAAUCCUGGUCGGACAUCAGGAGGUUAGUGCAAUGGCAUAAGCCAGCUUGACUGCGAGCGUGACGGCGCGAGCAGGUGCGAAAGCAGGUCAUAGUGAUCCGGUGGUUCUGAAUGGAAGGGCCAUCGCUCAACGGAUAAAAGGUACUCCGGGGAUAACAGGCUGAUACCGCCCAAGAGUUCAUAUCGACGGCGGUGUUUGGCACCUCGAUGUCGGCUCAUCACAUCCUGGGGCUGAAGUAGGUCCCAAGGGUAUGGCUGUUCGCCAUUUAAAGUGGUACGCGAGCUGGGUUUAGAACGUCGUGAGACAGUUCGGUCCCUAUCUGCCGUGGGCGCUGGAGAACUGAGGGGGGCUGCUCCUAGUACGAGAGGACCGGAGUGGACGCAUCACUGGUGUUCGGGUUGUCAUGCCAAUGGCACUGCCCGGUAGCUAAAUGCGGAAGAGAUAAGUGCUGAAAGCAUCUAAGCACGAAACUUGCCCCGAGAUGAGUUCUCCCUGACUCCUUGAGAGUCCUGAAGGAACGUUGAAGACGACGACGUUGAUAGGCCGGGUGUGUAAGCGCAGCGAUGCGUUGAGCUAACCGGUACUAAUGAACCGUGAGG